UAAAAUAUAUGAUAUUUUCUUCAUCUCAAUCUGUAUUUACAAAAGUGAGUAAUAAAAUAGAUGUUUUAAUAAAUCAAGCAAAAGAAUUGAACCAAGAACUUGAAACAUUAUCCCAAAACACUGUGGAUCUUCUUGGACAACCCUCUGGUAAGUACGACUAUAAAGUCUACUAUUCACCUCCGCCAUCUACUAAUAUUCCUGUUGAAUCCAUCAAGCCUACUGGUUGGGAAGAUAGCACUG
rnacentral:misc_RNA from 1 species